rnacentral:rRNA from 1 species
UGGGGAAUAUUGCACAAUGGGCGAAAGCCUGAUGCAGCAACGCCGCGUGAGUGAUGAAGGCCUUCGGGUUGUAAAGCUCUGUCUUCUGGGACGAUAAUGACGGUACCAGAGGAGGAAGCCACGGCUAACUACGUGCCAGCAGCCGCGGUAAUACGUAGGUGGCAAGCGUUGUCCGGAUUUACUGGGCGUAAAGGAUGCGUAGGCGGAUACUUAAGUCAGAUGUGAAAAUCCCGGGCUUAACUUGGGAACUCAUUUGAAACUGGGUAUCUAGAGUGCGGGAGAGGAAAGUGGAAUUCCUAGUGUAGCGGUGAAAUGCGUAGAGAUUAGGAAGAACACCAGUGGCGAAGGCGACUUUCUGGACCGUAACUGACGCUGAGGCAUGAAAGCGUGGGGAGCAAACA